rnacentral:rRNA from 1 species
UACAGAGGGUGCAAACGUUGUUCGGAAUUACUGGGCGUAAAGCGCGUGUAGGCGGCCCUGCAAGUCGGAUGUGAAAUCCCACGGCUCAACCGUGGAAGUGCAUUCGAAACUGCGGGGCUGGAGUACUGGAGAGGAAGGUGGAAUGCUCGGUGUAGCGGUGAAAUGCGUAGAUAUCGAGAGGAACACCUGCGGCGAAGGCGGGUUGCUGGGCCGACACUGACGCUGAUGCGCGAAAGCCAGGGGAGCGAACGGG